AGAGUUUGAUCCUGGCUCAGGAUGAACGCUAGCGGCAGGCUUAACACAUGCAAGUCGAGGGGUAACAGGAUCUUCGGAUCGCUGACGACCGGCGCACGGGUGAGUAACGCGUAUGCAACCUACCUAUAGCUGGGGCAUAGCCCGGAGAAAUUCGGAUUAAUACCCCAUAAUAUUCCUGAAAGGCAUCUUUUAGGUCUUAAAGUUUCGACGGCUAUAGAUGGGCAUGCGUGCCAUUAGCUAGUUGGUGAGGUAACGGCUCACCAAGGCUACGAUGGCUAUGGGGUCUUAAAGGAUGAUCCCACACACUGGUACUGAGACACGGACCAGACUCCUACGGGAGGCAGCAGUGAGGAAUAUUGGGCAAUGGACGAAAGUCUGACCCAGCCAUGCCGCGUGCAGGAUGAAUGCCUUAUGGGUUGUAAACUGCUUUUCUACGAGAAGAAAAGACUCCACGUGUGGAGGACUGACGGUACCGUAGGAAUAAGCAUCGGCUAACUCCGUGCCAGCAGCCGCGGUAAUACGGAGGAUGCAAGCGUUAUCCGGAUUUAUUAGGUUUAAAGGGUGCGUAGGCGGGAUGGUAAGUCAGUGGUGAAAUCCUGCAGCUUAACUGUAGAACUGCCAUUGAUACUGUCAUUCUUGAGUACAGUCGAGGUAGGCGGAAUGUGUAAUGUAGCGGUGAAAUGCUUAGAUAUUACACAGAACACCGAUUGCGUAGGCAGCUUACUAGACUGUUACUGACGUUGAGGCACGAAAGCGUGGGGAGCGAACAGGAUUAGAUACCCUGGUAGUCCACGCCGUAAACGAUGAUCACUCGUUGUGUGCGAUAUAUAGUACGCGACUGAGCGGAAGCAUUAAGUGAUCCACCUGGGGAGUACGUUCGCAAGAAUGAAACUCAAAGGAAUUGACGGGGGCCCGCACAAGCGGAGGAACAUGUGGUUUAAUUCGAUGAUACGCGAGGAACCUUACCUGGGCUUAAAUGUCUUACAUCCUUCGGGAGAUGCUUAUUGAAAGAUAAGUGAAAGAGUCAAGGUGCUGCAUGGCUGUCGUCAGCUCGUGCCGUGAGGUGUCGGGUUAAGUCCCAUAACGAGCGCAACCCCUAUCCUUAGUUGCCAGCGGAUAAUGCCGGGGACUCUAAGGAGACUGCCACCGUAAGGUGUGAGGAAGGUGGGGAUGACGUCAAGUCAGCACGGCCCUUACGUCCAGGGCUACACACGUGUUACAAUGGCCGAUACAAAGGGCAGCUACUUGGUGACAAGAUGCUAAUCUCAAAAGUCGGUCUUAGUUCGGAUUGAAGUCUGAAACUCGACUUCAUGAAGUUGGAUUCGCUAGUAAUCGUAUAUCAGCAACGAUACGGUGAAUACGUUCCCGGGCCUUGUACACACC
rnacentral:rRNA from 1 species